AGAGAGAGACAUGCGCGCAUAUCAAUAAGCGGAGGAAAAGAAACUAAUAAGGAUUCCCUUAGUAACGGCGAGUGAAGCGGGAAGAGCUCAAAUUUGAAAUCUUCAAGGUUUUACCUUGACGAAUUGUAGUUUAAAGAAGUGUUUUCUGCUGAAGUUUUGGUAAAAGUUCUUUGGAAUAGGACAUCAUAGAGGGUGAGAAUCCCGUAUUUGACCAUUAUUUUCAGCUUUGUGAUACACUUUCAAAGAGUCGGAUUGUUUGGGAAUGCAGUCCAAAAUGGGUGGUAAAUUUCAUCUAAAGCUAAAUAUUGGCGAGAGACCGAUAGCGAACAAGUACCGUGAGGGAAAGAUGAAAAGAACUUUGAAAAGAGAGUUAAACAGUACGUGAAAUUGUCAAAAGGGAAGCGUUUGACACCAGUGUUGUUUUCUCGAAAAUCAAUUAAAAAUGGCUCGAUUUUGUAUUGUUGAGACCUUAAAAGCUCACUGUACAUUUUUCGUGUCUUUUUUAAUGCACUUUUCGUUUAACAAGUCAACAUCAGUUUCUUUUGUUGUAAAAGGGUCAUUGGAAGGUGGCUUUCUUUUCGGAGAAAGUGUUUAUAGCCUUUGGCCUCUGCAAUCGGAAGAGACUGAGGUCUGCAGCGUAGACUCUUCGGGGUUAGAUACAUUUGUGCUAAGUUAUAGCUUUUUAUAGACAACUUGUUGACUAUAAUUAGUCUUGUAGCUUACUCGCUUAUGCUAUUUUACCUACGCUUAGGAUGUUGAGUCGUAGAGCACGCAG
rnacentral:rRNA from 1 species